UUAGUCCGUUCAUUGUUUUUCAGUCUUGUUUGAUUUUCACAGACGUUCUAAUUUUUAACAGUGUUUGUUUUAUAUUCAUAUGUGUUCAUUCCUUAACUGCAGUGUAAAUCGUAUCUCUAUUUCAGACCAGCUUCGAUGUGCCUCACAAGUUGAUCUUGUCUCCGCUGUCAUUAAAACUCAUUAAAUAUUUUAGAAAACCCAUUUAAUGCAUAAAAAGCAUCUAGCGGAGAUUGUACCCCUCACGUUUCAAAACCAGCCUCCUGAUUUCUGUAAAAGAUAGACAGGAACAUGGGCAGGAUGUUUAUACAGCAGAAUGUAAACAUUUUCCCUAGCCUUCUUUAAAUAAAAAAUCAAGCAAAAGCCUGGUUAGAUCAGCUAAUACUCAAACUGAUGCAUCUGCUCGCAGUGCCUUCUGUUGGACUUUUUUCUUUUUCUCUUUUUUGUUUUUAACAACUGAAUAUUGUUUGUGUAAUGCAGUCGUAAUAUUUACGCAGGGACGCGGGAGGAGUGAGGCGGAGGAUCAGCCGAACUGUGCGCACAGAAACUCGGAUGGGGACUUGGGAUCGACUCCUCAGAUAGUUAAAUGACCCAGGAUUCGAGGGAAGGAAAAGAUGCAGGCUCAUCUCCACUGCAUUCUUUCCAUUUAGCUCAAGAGCAGCGUGGUAGAAAAGGCUGGAGUGGGCAGGCACCCGGGUUUGGCCACAGGAAGCUGUGAAUUCUUUGGAGAAUGGAAGAUGUCUCAUGGGGAGACGUACUGGCCCCCCACCCGCCCACAAACCACCCCAAAAUGACCCCUGACCUUUUCAUGUGUUUAUAUCAGACCAUGGAAGUGAGAAAUAGUGAUGAGUCACUCUGGUUGUGUGUUUACACCCCAGAGUCACGCAAGGAAGGAAAUCAGCCACGGUCUGCUAAAAGUGGCGAGGUGAGAGAGAGAAUAGCUGCUGUGAUUUACCUCUUGGACCCAGAACUUAUUUCACGUCAUCUGCUGAAAAAACUUUCAACCAACACAGAACAGCAGCGGUAGCAGCACCGAGGACUGCAGUUGAAGAAAAAAGCACAUACCAAAACAUGUAAAUGGUACAGUUGUAGGUGUGUGUCUGCGGUCCUGCUGCUACCAUACCAAUUAUUUCAGCAGGAUAACUCGUAUGUAAUAAUUAAUCUGAAUGAGCAACAUUUCUUUAUUUGUUUAGUUCCUUUCUAAAGCAAUCAUGCCUCUAAGCAUCUUUAUUCUAAAGAAAAUGGAUUCAAUUUGAUCCCUGUACGCUUCAAAGUGUAUUUUUUAUCGAAAAAAGAGGGCAUUGCUCAAUUUAACUAACCGCUUUGGGAUAUUGGAAUGAGAUUAUUUACAAUAAUGAUUAAUUAGUUGAAAGAAAUAAUCAUAGAUUUUAAGAGCCUUAUUUUGAUUAAUUGAGUAUAUACCAGCAGAACUUUAUCUUCCUGUAUGUAAUAUGAAUUUUGUCUGACAUUGUAUCAAUGAUAGCUAUUAGACAGGUUCCACCAUGAAAAAAGUAUUACUUAUCAAUAAUUAUAUUAUUACAAGUGGAUUUUAUUAGAGAAAUUCAUUAAGAGUUGUAAUGACUGCAGAGAUAAACAGUCACUGUAAUGUUAAAACAGGCAGUAUAGAUUGUGACUGAUAACAAAGAGGCAGAGAUGUUGCUGAAGUCAUUGUAUACGCCUCUGAAAUUGAUUUGACAUCUUCAGCAUGCCCAUAUUUAACAACAAGACAGGUGAUUGUAUCCUUUAGGAAAAUUAAAUAUUCUGAGGAUAUGCUCAUAAUAUUAGUGUUAUUGUGUGUUUUUCUGUUUUUAUGAGUGUUUUUAUUUAUGUGCCAUUGAUGUAUAAAUCACACUUGAUUGUAUUGUGAUGUGCUCUUGGGGGCUUGUUGUAUCCUGUGAGAAGUCUUCACUGUGGCUUUCAUUAUACUUUCAAACACUGUGUCAUGGAUCCCAAAUUGCACAACUGUUGUUUUCAACGUGAAGCUGAAGUUCUUGCAUUUGCAUUCAAUAAAUAAAAGAGACUUUCUUUCUUUUCAUUGCUAAACUGGUGCUAGUAGCUUCAUUGCAGACUGCAGUGAGUAUCCUUUUACACACCCCCAUACACAUCGCCACAAUGAGAGAGUCAGCAGCUUUUAUUUUGGCCGAUUUCUUCUGAAUUGUAAGUGCUGUCAAGGGCUUUGAUGGAUAGUUGUGUUUAUCACCAUAUUAUUAAGUAAUCAGGCUCACCACAGCCGGGCCUGAAGCUCCUUAAUUCCAGCUGAAGCACACAGCUUCAUGCUAAUUAAAGGUUUGCUAAACCAGUUUAUUUUUGUGAAUUUUUUAGAAUAUAGAUGUCUGUUUUUAAGUGUGUAGAGUGUGCUGAUUGUUGCAUUUGCAUUCUGCCUGGAGCAUUUAGCGCCAAUGUUCAGGGUAGUGCCAUCAUCAGACCGAUCAGAGGUAGUUACACAGACAAUCUAUUAUUCUACAUUGCUGUAAAACUUGCAAAAGGUCAGUUUAUGUGCAAACAGAAAAAUCUAGUCAGAACACGAAAAAGGUCAGUCAGACUAUGUUGUUUGGAUCAGCAGAGAUUUCUUCUCGCUUCGUUAAUAGAGCCUGCGGCGGGCUGCGUUUGUGUAUUUCUGAGGUAAACACAGUCAUGGCAAAGUGGACUCGAUGCUGAGUGUGUCCUGACUGGAGACAGAGAGCACUGUGGCACAGUACUUUCUGAGACACUGGCAGCUCUCUAGAGGCAGGGUUAAUGUGAUGAAUGACCAUCUUUUAAUGGGCCAUUUAUUAAGGUGAAACAGCUCUUUUAAAAACUGGAGCUUGAGACACUGGUAUGACCAGUUUCAGUGAGAAAUUAGUCAGGUGGCAGAUGUUUUAUGAUGGAGCAAUUCUGCCCUGCUCUUGCUUUUAACCAAAUGAGGGAAGAAUUGCUUGAGUGACUGCAUAUAGGAAUCACAUAUAGCUAUAACUUUAUGAAUUUAAAACCACAACUGACUUCAAACCAUGAUCCACGGAUUAGUUUCUCUUUUAAUCUUUACCACUUUAUAUAUAUAUAUAUAUCAUAUAACUUUUCAGCCAUCAACGAGAAGCUGCUAAUUGUAGAAAUUACUCCACAAGAAUAAUUAAUCAGAGUGUAAAUAAACUUUUAUGAAGUGAAAAGCAAAAGGUGGAAGGAAGGUAUUUUUUUUUAGUUUUAAACAGAUUUUCAUAUUCAACAUAAAUAUGCUGCUAAAGAUCUGUGAUUUGAUUAUAAUGGUGUUCAGGUUUUAUCCUUCCCAUAUUUCCUCCUACCAUUUCUAUUUUUUGAUGCUUUACAUUGUAGCAAAAAUAAAUAAAUAA